UUCCAGACUCCUACGGGAGGCAGCAGUGGGGGAUAUUGCACAAUGGGGGGAACCCUGAUGCAGCGACGCCGCGUGGGUGAAGGAGCGUUUCGGCGCGUAAAGCCCUAUCGGCAGGGAAGAAGGAGGACGGCACCUGACUAAGAAGCCCCGGCUAACUACGUGCCAGCAGCCGCGGUAAUACGGAGGGGGCAAGCGGUAUCCGGAUUUACUGGGUGUAAAGGGAGCGCAGGCGGCCUUGCAAGUCUGAUGUGAAAGGCCGGGGCCCAACCCCGGGACUGCAUUGGAAACUGCGAGGCUGGAGUGUCGGAGAGGCAGGCGGAAUUCCUGGUGUAGCGGUGAAAUGCGUAGAUAUUAGGAGGAACACCAGUGGCGAAGGCGGCCUGCUGGACGAUGACUGACGCUGAGGCUCGAAAGCGUGGGGAGCAAACAGGAUUAGAUACCCUAGUA
rnacentral:rRNA from 1 species